rnacentral:rRNA from 1 species
GACGAACGCUGGCGGCGUGCUUAACACAUGCAAGUGGAGCGACGAACCAGGGCUUGCCCUGGGGCAGAGCCGCGAACGGGUGAGUAACACGUGGGUAACCUACCUUGAUGACCGGGACAACCCGAGGAAACUCGGGCUAAUACCGGAUGUGCUCCUUCCACAUCAGUGGAUUGAGGAAAGAUAGCUUCGGCCUUCGCAUCAAGAUGGGCCCGCGGAGCAUUAGUUGUGGUGGGUAACGCCUACCAGACUUCGAUGCUUAGCUGGUCUGAGAGGACGAUCAGCCACACUGGGACUGAGACACGGCCCAGACUCCUACGGGAGGCAG